CCUACGGGCGGCUGCAGUGAGGAAUAUUGGUCAAUGGGCGGGAGCCUGAACCAGACAAGCCGCGUGAAGGAAGAAGGCGCCAGGCGUCGUAAACUUCUUUUGUCGGGGAACAAAGGGCGCCACGUGUGGCGUUGUGAGUGUACCCGAAGAAAAAGCAUCGGCUAACUCGGUGCCAGCAGCCGCGGUAAUACGGAGGAUGCGAGCGUUAUCCGGAUUUAUUGGGGUUAAAGGGUGCGUAGGCGGUCCGGAAAGUCAGCGGGAAAAGCCCGGGGCUAAACCCCGGCGAGCCGUUGAAACUGUCGGACUAGAGACGGCGAGAGGUACGCGGAAUGCGCGGUGUAGCGGUGAAAUGCAUAGAUAUCGCGCAGAACUCCGAUUGCGAAGGCAGCGUACCGGCGCCGGACUGACGCUGAGGCACGAAAGCGUGGGUAUCGAACAGGAUUAGAUACCCGGGUAGUC
rnacentral:rRNA from 1 species